rnacentral:rRNA from 1 species
ACGGAGGGUGCGAGCGUUAAUCGGAAUUACUGGGCGUAAAGCGCGCGUAGGCGGUUGUGUAAGUCGGAUGUGAAAGCCCAGGGCUUAACCUUGGAAUUGCAUUCGAAACUGCACGGCUAGAGUAUGGGAGAGGAAAGCGGAAUUUCCGGUGUAGCGGUGAAAUGCGUAGAUAUCGGAAGGAACAUCAGUGGCGAAGGCGGCUUUCUGGACCAAUACUGACGCUGAGGUGCGAAAGCGUGGGGAGCGAACAGG